AAAGGCACCAAAAAAAAUAAUAAUAAUAAAGCCGCAGCACAACUGCCAGCGAUUGAAAAAAAAAAAUCUCUUCUUCCUUUCUUCUCCAGCAAUCAGGGAUGAGAAUCAAUUGGUAUUUUCAAUUUUUUUUUUUAAUAUUAAAUGUCCCUAGUUCAUCUGAAGCAAUUCAUGGAAGAGUUGAAUAAUGAGUAUAUGCCGAGCUAGUUGCCAAGUACACAUAUAUCGUCCUUACAUUCCUACUCCACAACAUUAUUUUUUUCAGGGAGUCCCUUCUAACUUUGGCUUUCACUGUUUAGUUACAUUGAGGACAAUGUAAUAUUUUAAGUUGGGGGAAGCUUUAUUUUGAUAGAUAUUUUUGUGAUGGGGUGUGAUAUGUCAUGAUGAAUGAUAACCUGGUAGAUUGAUUUUAUUUUGAUAUUUUUUUUAUGGCAUAUUUAUAUUAGUGUGAUUUUUUUUUCCAUUAUUAGCUUCUUUAGUUUUUGUUCGGAGUAAAAGUGGUGUGGGAUGUGAUUUUUGCACCUUGAUCCAUUUGUGCCUUGCUUGGUACCACCACCUUAAACCUUAGGAUAUGAAUUAGUGAUUUUUGGAAAAGAAAAAAUGAUUGAAGUGAUGAUUCUUGUUAUGAAUUUUAGACUCAAUAUUUGGCUCUUAAGUUCACUAAGUAGUCUCUUUAGGCUAUAAGUGACUUUCUUUGAGUUCAUUUAUUUCAAUUGGGUUUUGGAUACAUAUUUCACUUGAGUUUGCAUGUGCCAUGUAUGGCGAGGUUUAUUUGUGAGUUCUUUUGCAUUAUUUGUGGUCUAGAACUUGUCCGGAAUGAGUUUCAAGGAGAAAUCCUAGACUACAUUUGGUUUGGAGAAUGAUGUUAGGCCUUCCCUGGACCCUUUUUGUGCCUUAAAUUUCCUACCCUUGCAUAUUUUCCCUAGUCAACCCCUUUUGAGCCUUUAACCUUUUCUUUGACAACCAUGUUACAAACUUUACCCCGUUCUUCAUUGAUCCAUCGUUUGGUAACAUACCUCCUUAAAUGCGUUGAAAGUGCAAACAUAGGCUAAAAACCUAAGUUUGGGGGUGAUGGUUGGUAAAGUGUGAUGUGAAAGUUACUUGAAAGGUGAAAAUGAAAAGAAAAAAAAAGUGGUCUUCCUUGAAAUUUUGGAAAAAAAAAAAAAAAAGAUAACAAACAACAACAA